rnacentral:rRNA from 1 species
GACGUAGGGGGCGAGCGUUGUCCGGAAUUACUGGGCGUAAAGGGCGUGUAGGCGGUUUAUUAAGUCAGACGUGAAAACCCUGGGCUUAACCUGGGGACUGCGUUUGAAACUGGUAGGCUUGAGGGCAGGAGAGGAAAGUGGAAUUCCCGGUGUAGCGGUGAUAUGCGUAGAUACCGGGAGGAACACCAGUGGCGAAGGCGGCUUUCUGGACUGCACCUGACGCUGAGGCGCGAAAGCCAGGGGAGCGAACGGG